UCAGCCCGGGCGGCCCGUGUCCAGCGUUCCUGGCCUCAGCAUCCCCGGAGCGCGGGGGCGGCGGGCGCGCGACUCCUGCCGACGCACCGGUUUGGCUCCAGGAUCACUUCAGGGUCCGAGUCUGAAGAUGGUCUGGCCACCCCACAGUCUGAGGGCCAUUGUGGACAAGUACACGUGUCGCUUUGGAAUGGGGCUUCGCUUCUGCGCAGAAGACAGACGCAUAGUCUGGUUUUGUUUGUCUUUUUUGAAGGUGGAAGCAUCGCUUGGUUCCAUUCUGCUAGACAGAACCGGCCCAGAUCAUCUGAGGGACCCGCUUCUUCACAGCCGCUGGCUUAGUUUCAGCCCUGGUGUCAUGAUAAUCUGGUCUAAGCAAGUCAGUGGCGAGCUCAUUGCUCGGUAAUAAACCCACAAGAAUUCCAGUGCAGCCACCUCACAGGCAGGACCAAGCUUGGUGCACUAUCCACGAGGGACUCAGACCUGCCCGUGACCGGGAGAGGAGCCAUGGUGUCUGCUCGGCCUCCUGCCUCCCUCCCCAGCCUCCCCUGGGACCGCCCCACCCCGCUCACAUGCCGGAGUCACUCUGCUGACACCUGCUCUGACGCCCUCUGCCCGGAACACUUCCCAUGGUUGGCUCUUCGGGUCACUGCUUCAGUGCCACCUCCUCCGAGAAGCUUUCUUGGCCUGCCCUAUCCAAGUAGCACCCUACCAUCCAAAAUAAUGCUGCCCCACCGCCGAGCUGCCCCCCUCGUCACCCCCAGGGCCUGUGAAUAGAUUUUGUUCUGUGACAAGGGGGAAUUAGGGCUGCAGAUGGAAUGAAGUUUACUAAUCAACUGAUUUUAAAAGAAUGCGAUUAUCCUGGAUCAUUUGGGCAGGACCAUGUCAUCAUGAGGGGCCCGACCUGGAGCUGGAGAAGGCAGAUGGUUCAGAAGCAGGAGAGGGCAGCGUGAGAACAACCUGGCCACCAUGUGGGCUCUGAAGACGGACGAAGAUGCCAGAAGCCGAGUGUGGGCGCUGUGAGUAGCGGGAGAGGCCGGGAUACUUACUGUCCCCUGCAGUUCCACCAAGGAAGUCAGCUCUGCCGUCUCCUGCAUCUUACUCGGUCACUUUUGUCUUGUGACCUCCCAAACUGUCAGAUAACCGCGCUGUGUUGUGGAAGCCACUAUGUUGGGGGCAUUUGUUACAGCUGCCGCCAGACGCUCCCACAGAUGUCAGCUUCGGUGCCAAACCCAGCGACGCCCUCCCCACCGCCUCAGUCACGGCAGCACCCCAACCUCAGCUCCCGCACCAGGGACCCAGCAGCAAACCAGACAUGACAAGCCCCUCUCUCACCCAGCCUGCCUGGCGAGGGGCGUGAUGAACAAACCUAACAAGCAGGUCCUGUUGGGGAUGUGAGACGGCACCCCAGGAGGCGGGGUGCUGGGCUCUGGGCAGCGCGCUUGCAAAUGACUUGGUCGCAGAGCGGGGCACGCGGGCACGGACUCCAAGGGCCAGGGAACCCAAGUCUCCAGACCUCCAGGUCUCAUCGUGUAACAGGGGGGUCCCCAGGAAAGGGGGAGGUUCCAGGUUCCCUGCCCCACCCAAGGGAGGGUGGAGCUGAGCAGGAAGAGGAGAAGCUGCAGAAGAGACUGAGGAAGGAAGCAGGAUGGAGCCAGGAGCCCUGGAGGAGGCGCGUGGAGCCUAGAGACACGUGAAGAAACUGCGCUUGUCUUUUGGUCGUGGACUGGGUGACACAGAUGUGGGUGAGACCCGUGGGGAGGUGACCAUGGCAGCUUUUAUCUGGAUGUUGAUUUUGCUCUUUUCCUUCCGGGCUUGUCCGGUUGUUUGUGACCCUUUUCUGUGGGUCCCCACUGGAAGAUGCUUUAGACUUGGGGCAGGCUUUGGGGCCUUGCUCUGCGCCAUUCCCAUAUGGAUGGACUUUUACCCACGAGGGGACGGGUCACUUUGGGUGCUUCAUUUAGAAACUAGACUCUUUGCCUCACCUGUAUUGUUUCCUAGUUUUUAUUAAAGAUCCUUCCCAUUAAAGUCUCCUAUGUUUUGUGUUGAUGCGGCGGAUGGCAGAACCCAUGUAGAAUAGGCAGGUUUGCGGGGCUUGGGCUACCCCUCUCCCUGUCCUAUAACAAUCGGACUUCCCUUGCAA